rnacentral:rRNA from 1 species
AUGAACGCUGGCGGCGUGCCUAAUACAUGCAAGUCGAGCGAACGGACGAGAAGCUUGCUUCUCUGAUGUUAGCGGCGGACGGGUGAGUAACACGUGGAUAACCUACCUAUAAGACUGGGAUAACUUCGGGAAACCGGAGCUAAUACCGGAUAAUAUUUUGAACCGCAUGGUUCAAAAGUGAAAGACGGUCUUGCUGUCACUUAUAGAUGGAUCCGCGCUGCAUUAGCUAGUUGGUAAGGUAACGGCUUACCAAGGCAACGAUGCAUAGCCGACCUGAGAGGGUGAUCGGCCACACUGGAACUGAGACACGGUCCAGACUCCUACGGGAGGCAGCAGUAGGGAAUCUUCCGCAAUGGGCGAAAGCCUGACGGAGCAACGCCGCGUGAGUGAUGAAGGUCUUCGGAUCGUAAAACUCUGUUAUUAGGGAAGAACAUAUGUGUAAGUAACUGUGCACAUCUUGGCGGUACCUAAUCAGAAAGCCACGGCUAACUACGUG